ACGCUGGCGGCAGGCCUAACACAUGCAAGUCGAGCGGUAGAGAGAAGCUUGCUUCUCUUGAGAGCGGCGGACGGGUGAGUAAUGCCUAGGAAUCUGCCUGGUAGUGGGGGAUAACGUUCGGAAACGGACGCUAAUACCGCAUACGUCCUACGGGAGAAAGCAGGGGACCUUCGGGCCUUGCGCUAUCAGAUGAGCCUAGGUCGGAUUAGCUAGUUGGUGGGGUAAUGGCUCACCAAGGCGACGAUCCGUAACUGGUCUGAGAGGAUGAUCAGUCACACUGGAACUGAGACACGGUCCAGACUCCUACGGGAGGCAGCAGUGGGGAAUAUUGGACAAUGGGCGAAAGCCUGAUCCAGCCAUGCCGCGUGUGUGAAGAAGGUCUUCGGAUUGUAAAGCACUUUAAGUUGGGAGGAAGGGCAGUUGCCUAAUACGUAACUGUUUUGACGUUACCGACAGAAUAAGCACCGGCUAACUCUGUGCCAGCAGCCGCGGUAAUACAGAGGGUGCAAGCGUUAAUCGGAAUUACUGGGCGUAAAGCGCGCGUAGGUGGUUUGUUAAGUUGGAUGUGAAAUCCCCGGGCUCAACCUGGGAACUGCAUUCAAAACUGACUGACUAGAGUAUGGUAGAGGGUGGUGGAAUUUCCUGUGUAGCGGUGAAAUGCGUAGAUAUAGGAAGGAACACCAGUGGCGAAGGCGACCACCUGGACUGAUACUGACACUGAGGUGCGAAAGCGUGGGGAGCAAACAG
rnacentral:rRNA from 1 species